rnacentral:misc_RNA from 1 species
CGCACAUUGCGCCCUUCGGUAUUCCGGGGGGCAUGCCUGUUCGAGCGUCAUUACACCACUCAAGCUCUGCUUGGUAUUGGGAGAUCGUCCCUCCGGGGGCGCUCCCGAAAGACAGCGGCGAAGCAACCGAGCUCUCUAGCGCAGUGACAUCUUAGAUCUCGCUACGAGUCUUGCCCGGGGGCCUCCGCCGGACAACCACCCAAAUUUUCUAUGGUUGACCCCGGAUCAGGUAGGGAUACCCGCUGAACUUAA